rnacentral:rRNA from 1 species
UACGUAGGUGGCAAGCGUUGUCCGGAUUUACUGGGCGUACAGGGAGCGUAGGCGGUUGGAUAAGCCCUCCGUGAAAUCUCCAGGCUUAACCUGGAAAGUGCAGAGGGGACUGUUCAGCUAGAGGAUGGGAGAGGAGCGCGGAAUUCCCGGUGUAGCGGUGAAAUGCGUGAGAGAGUCGGGAGGAAGGCCGGUGGCGAAGGCGGCGCUCUGGAACAUUUCUGACGGCUGAGGCUCGGAAAGCGAUGGGGAGCAAACUACGGG